UUACGCUAAUACCGCAUACGACCUACGGGUGAAAGUGGGGGACCUUCGGGCCUCACGCGAUGAGAUGAGCCGAUGCCGGAUUAGCUAGUUGGCGGGGUAAAGGCCCACCAAGGCGACGAUCCGUAGCUGGUCUGAGAGGAUGAUCAGCCACACUGGAACUGAGACACGGUCCAGACUCCUACGGGAGGCAGCAGUGGGGAAUAUUGGACAAUGGGGGCAACCCUGAUCCAGCCAUGCCGCGUGUGUGAAGAAGGCCUUCGGGUUGUAAAGCACUUUUGUUGGGGAAGAAACCGGCCGGGUUAAUACCCUGGUUGAAUGACGGUACCCAAAGAAUAAGCACCGGCUAACUUCGUG
rnacentral:rRNA from 1 species